UCAGGUACCUGAUGAUGAGAGAAUGUUGGCACGCCGUCCCAUCUCGCAGGCCGACUUUCCAACAGCUGGUAGAAGAUUUAGACCGCACACUCUCUCUCAUGGCCAACCAGGAGUACCUGGACCUGUCCGUUCCUCUGGUCGAGUAUUCUCCGGUCGGCUCUUCUGCCUCGGCUCAUUCCUGUAACUCCACAUAGGCGUCCUGGGACCUUUUCCCUUUUCCGGAUCACCUUUAUCCCGUUUCCUCUGCUGCGCGGGGCGGCGGUGGCGGCAGUCCCGGACGAGGCCCGACUGAGGAGCUCAGACAGAGAGCUGCUUCACUGUUGUCUAUCGGCAGCAGCCUGAUGUGAAGAACAGCUGGACUGAGCUGGACACCCCAGCGAGGCCUCAGGAAGCAGCUCACACACAAUCUCGUUCAUAAAGGGUGUAAAGAAGACUUGAGUUCACCCACUGAUAGAAGACUGUGAGAGCUGGGUUUGGCUCCUGCACUGCCUGUUGCAUUAGUGCUUUGGUAACGUUAAUAAUAAUAAUGUUCUCAGUGUGAAUAUUGUAAAUAGUUUGUGUUAUAUGUAAGACCAGAUUUGAUUUAUAAGAGAAAUAUGAAAUGAAAGGGAGAAAGAUACUAUAAAAUAAAAUACACAAAGUGUAAAAAUGAAUCUAUAAAUGUGUGUGGGGGAAAGAAAUUAUUAAUUUGACUUUUUACUGUUGCAUUUGGAUUUAUUUUUUCAUCAGCAGCUGCCUGAAUUCCUCUCGAAAUAAGUUACUCAUUUAUAGAUAUUUUUCCCAAGUUUUUUUGUGUUUGACCAAAAUGUAUGUAUUUCUCAGUCAGGUUUGGUCCUCUGCAGUAAUGUCAUGUUGCCAAAAAUUAUGUCUACCAGUUCAGCAUUGCACUUAUACUCCAGCUGAUUACAGCCUGCCAUUUACAGAAAAUUUGAAUGUGUAAUAAGUGAAUAACAGUAUUAAAAUUCUUUUGAAUUUUUAA